GAUGAACGCUGGCGGCGUGCUUAACACAUGCAAGUCGAACGACGACGCCCAGCUUGCUGGGUGGUUUAGUGGCGAACGGGUGAGUAACACGUGAGUAACUUGCCCUUAACUCUGGGAUAAGCCUGGGCAACUGGGUCUAAUACCGGAUAGGAGCGUCCACCGCAUGGUGGGAGUUGGAGAGAUUUAUCGGUUUUGGAUGGACUCGCGGCCUAUCAGCUUUUUGGUGAGGUAAUGGCUCACCAAGGCGACGACGGGUAGCCGGCAUGAGAGUGUGACCGGCGACACUGGGACUGAGACACGGCCCAGACUCCUACGGGAGGCAGCAGUGGGGAAUAUUGCACAAUGGGCGCAAGCCUGAUGCAGCGACGCCGCGUGAGGGAUGACGGCCUUCGGGUUGUAAACCGCUUUCAGUAGGGAAGAAGCGAAAGUGACGGUACCUGCAGAAGAAGCACCGGCUAACUACGUG
rnacentral:rRNA from 1 species